rnacentral:rRNA from 3 species
AAAGAAACCAACCGGGAUUGCCUCAGUAACGGCGAGUGAAGCGGCAAGAGCUCAAAUUUGAAAUCUGGCCCCUCCGGGGUCCGAGUUGUAAUUUGUAGAGGAUGCUUCGGGUGCGGCCCCUGUCUAAGUGCCCUGGAACGGGCCAUCGGAGAGGGUGAGAAUCCCGUCUGGGAUGGGGUGUCCGUGCCCGUGUGAAGCUCCUUCGACGAGUCGAGUUGUUUGGGAAUGCAGCUCUAAAUGGGUGGUAAAUUUCAUCUAAAGCUAAAUACUGGCCGGAGACCGAUAGCGCACAAGUAGAGUGAUCGAAAGAUGAAAAGCACUUUGAAAAGAGAGUUAAACAGCACGUGAAAUUGUUGAAAGGGAAGCGCUUGCGACCAGACUCGCCCACGGGGUUCAGCCGGCUUUCGGGCCGGUGUACUUCCCCGGGGGCGGGCCAGCGUCGGUUUGGGCGGCCGGUCAAAGGCCCCCGGAAUGUAACGCCCCUCCGGGGGCGUCUUAUAGCCGGGGGUGUCAUGCGGCCAGCCUAGACCGAGGAACGCGCUUCGGCACGGACGCUGGCAUAAUGGUCGCAAACGAC